rnacentral:lncRNA from 1 species
AUUUAUUAUUCACAAGUGUUUGAGGAUUUAGCAUCUUGUCUCGGGGAAUGUGUGUUUCUGCACUUUGAAUUAGGGGUCGAACAAACACGGGAUCGGUUGGUGCGAGUGUGUGUAUGUAUGUGUGCAUGUUUGUUGGGCUUUCUUUGUAGGUAAGGCCCUGUGUACUUUCUCAAACACCACAUCAAAGGGCGAGAAGCUUGUUAAAGCACAUUAAACUCAUGGUUGCAAGAGAGGGGUGGAGAUCUGCGGAUUAAAAAUCCAGUUUUUACAGUACAAAAGGGAGUCACUGCAAGAAAAAACUCGCAAACACUCUCUCACACCCUUUGUACUCCCAUCUACUUAUACUAGCUAAUCCAUGGAAGUAGCUUAGUAGCAGAGGCAGCGUCAGUUUGCUUCCGGGACCUCAAACAAUCAUCAUUCCAGGGUGUUACCCCGUUAAAGGAGGACUCCAGGUGACUGUCCAGGUAGGGCCUCCUCCGAGGGUGGAGGGAGGAGGGACCGAUUUACUGCCACCAUCAUGCCUGUGGUGAGCCACCAUCCACGAGAGCUCCUGAUGCCAGUCCGGUGGACCGUGUGGAUGGACGUCAGGAUUCAGUCCCCCUUGAUGCCCCCAGCAUAGCUGCUUUCCACGUGCACAUCCCUGGCUGCAUGAGGCCAUUAAGCUCACAUUCUGCAGGUUAACCUCUUCCUGCUGGGCCCUGGGACCAUCCUGAACAUGGUGUCAUGGAUUCAAGAUCAAAGGUCAAUCACUGCUAAAGGCCCAGUAGCUCCCAGAUGGUCCACUCAGGCUGGGCCCCGCGCUCCUCAUUGUUCCACCCGGGCAUCCUAAAGCGAAGGGUUUCUAGUCAACUUGGAAAAGGCGAAUUAGUUGCUAUGGAGACCUGUCCACGCGGGCAACAAACCGGAGGGCUUCUGUACACUAACUUGAUCAGGUGGUGGAGCCAGGAAGUGGGCAAGGCAACGAUGGUUCUUAACCACUCCAGUUUCAGAACACAGACACCCCCUGAGAAUAAAGACCCCUUACGAGGGUUGUGGUGA